AGUGAACGCUGGCGGUAGGCCUAACACAUGCAAGUCGAACGGCAGCACAGUAAGAGCUUGCUCUUACGGGUGGCGAGUGGCGGACGGGUGAGGAAUACAUCGGAAUCUACUUUUUCGUGGGGGAUAACGUAGGGAAACUUACGCUAAUACCGCAUGCGACCUACGGGUGAAAGCAGGGGAUCUUCGGACCUUGCGCGAUUGAAUGAGCCGAUGUCGGAUUAGCUAGUUGGCGGGGUAAAGGCCCACCAAGGCGACGAUCCGUAGCUGGUCUGAGAGGAUGAUCAGCCACACUGGAACUGAGACACGGUCCAGACUCCUACGGGAGGCAGCAGUGGGGAAUAUUGGACAAUGGGCGCAAGCCUGAUCCAGCCAUACCGCGUGGGUGAAGAAGGCCUUCGGGUUGUAAAGCCCUUUUGUUGGGAAAGAAAAGCAGCAGGUUAAUACCCCGCUGUUCUGACGGUACCCAAAGAAUAAGCACCGGCUAACUUCGU
rnacentral:rRNA from 1 species